CCAACGGGGNAUUGCCUUAGUACGGCGAGUGAAGCGGCAAAAGCUCAAAUUUGAAAUCUGGCACCUUCGGUGUCCGACCUUUUAUAUGAAGAAGGUAACUUUGGAGUUGGCUCUUGUCUAUCUUUCUUGGAACAGGACGUCACAGAGGGUGAGAAUCCCGUGCGAUGAGAUGCCCAAUUCUAUGUAAAGUGCUUUCGAAGAGUCGAGUUGUUUGGGAAUGCAGCUCUAAGUGGGUGGUAAAUUCCAUCUAAAGCUAAAUAUUGGCGAGAGACCGAUAGCGAACAAGUACAGUGAUGGAAAGAUGAAAAGAACUUUGAAAAGAGAGUGAAAAAGUACGUGAAAUUGUUGAAAGGGAAGGGCUUGAGAUCAGACUUGGUAUUUUGCGAUCCUUUCCUUCUUGGUUGGGUUCCUCGCAGCUUACUGGGCCAGCAUCGGUUUGGAUGGUAGGAUAAUGACUAAGGAAUGUGGCUCUACUUCGGUGGAGUGUUAUAGCCUUGGUUGAUACUGCCUGUCUAGACCGAGGACUGCGUCUUUUGACUAGGAUGUUGGCAUAAUGAUCUUAAGCCACCCGUCUUGAAACACGGACCAAAAA
rnacentral:rRNA from 1 species